rnacentral:rRNA from 1 species
UACGUAGGGGGCUAGCGUUGUCCGGAAUCAUUGGGCGUAAAGCGCGCGUAGGCGGCCAGAUAAGUCCGGUGUGAAAGUCACAGGCUCAACCUGUGAAUGCCGCUGGAAACUGUCUGGCUCGAGUCCGGGAGGGGCGAGUGGAAGUUCCUGGUGUAGCGGUGAAAUGCAUAGAUAGCUUCCAGAACCCCGAUUGCGUAGGCAGCUGACUAGGCUGGUACUGACACUGAGGCACGAAAGCGUGGGGAGCGAACAAGG